rnacentral:lncRNA from 1 species
UCUUUACCUCUCUCUCACGAGUCUCACCCCCUUCGCGAAGCUGCUGCUCCUUCUCCGCUGCUGCUCUCCUUCUCCGCCUAAGCCCCAUCCUUCGCGAAGCUGGGCGCCACCACCGCUGCUUCUCCGCCUGAGCCCCAACCCUUCACGAAGCUGCUGCUGCUUCUCUGCCUGAGCCCCGUCCCUUCGCGAAGCUGCUGCUGCUUCUCCGCUUGAGCCUCGUCCUUCGCGAAACUGGGCGCCACCGCCAGAAGUCGAGCCCCUGCUUCUGCCCGUCCUCAGUCCGUCCGUCCGAGCCCCCUGCUCACCCACGAGAUCUGCAGCCGAGCCCUUGCUUCUGCCCUGCAGCAACUCCAGCGUCGCCCGCGCCACCGCCAGAAGCCGAGCCCCUGCUUCUGCCCUGUAGCAACUCCAGCCCCUUUAGGUAAAGAGAAUGCCCUAACUUGCUACCAUUCCUAUAAAUAUGUAAGAAUUGUGCUUCUUUCAUUCAUAAAGACUAAUGUCCUCCAUUUUGUCCGAGCUAUUCCACCCCAACGAUUACGCCCUUUUCAAAUUGGAUCGACUUGGAGCCCAGUCCGUCAUCAAGUGCAUAUCUAACAAGCAAAGUCCUCCUUCGGUACCAUAUAUAAACAAUGCAUCUUGCUCCAUUAAGCCGAAUCUUCCAAAAAAAAGGUAUUCACGAUUGUACCCGUUUAAAAAUGAGUCACGCGUAUGUUAUUCCACAAUGUCUCUUUCAGUGACUUGGGGUGUCACAUAUCCUCUAUCUUUUUCCUCUUUUCUCCUCCGUGGGGAAACUGUGUAAGUCAAACUCUCCUAGAGAAGUGUGAUAAGGGCCUGCCUUACGUCCAAAGACUCUGAAUAUAUAUCCCCCAAUGCCUCUUGUCGAUUUGUUCCUUUCAAUUUUGGGCGUUUGAACUUUCAAAUAAUUAGUGCUCAACUCUGCAAGUGUCUUUUUCUGUAUCUAAAGCCACGAGCUGGUUUUGCUUCUUUGAAUGCGUGCAAAAAAAGACCUUCAGUUGCAAAAGCCUCAAUACUUUCAAAGGUGGCAUUACUUUCUAAGACAAGGGACUAGUCAAAGAAUAUUGCCUCCUCCUUUUCAAUCACUUUAUAAGAUCAGAUCAGAUGUGAGUGAGCACUAACACAUUACAUGCUGUCCCAUUCAUUUCUUUACCCCUUUUUUUAUAUCGCUCCUGAGGUUUGUCUUCAACCAAGGUGCAAAAUUUGGCUGAUGAAGAUAGGCACAAUUUUAUUCAGCUUUUACAAAAACCGGCUGGCGUGACCAGUCUUUCUCAAUCCGAGUUGUGGUGUGCUCUACGUCCUCGUGUGUGCAGAGAUAUUCUGUGUGAUUUAAUGUUGGGUUGGAUGUUUGUAGGCGGUUUUGUUUUCUAUGGUUGGGAUCUUUGACAGUUAUCAUGGUGGUAUUUGCUGCGAUUAAUGCUGGUCAGUUAAAGUUUCGACUGUUGGACUCGAGUCUGAACCCAACUUUUCUUCUUUGUCUUUUAGCUCAAGUGUCAUGCAUGAGUUGAAGAAGUGGCGGGGUUGAGUUUGGAAAAAAUAUAAGGUUCAAGGACAUCACAGUUUGAAGAGGAAAAGCAGAGCAAAAAGGUACUCUUGUUCCUUCAAUUCUAGUUUCUGCUGUUUGAUGCGUUCAUGUUUUUUUUUUUUUUGGGUGAACUUCUCUUUUCUGAUUUUCAUAGUCUGCUCUCUCAAGUGGUACCAACAGAUAAGGCUCAGUCGAGAGGCUUUCUUUUAUUUGCCUCAAAGAUAAGCCGAUUCUGUGAAAUUUGGGGCCAAAAUUUCUACUGCUGGUUAUGUUAAUGUGACAGCUCUAAAAUGGUGAUUUUCUUUGUAUCUAUGGCUUCAAAUUGGUUAGUCCCAAGGGGGGAGUUAGAAGAAAAAACCAAAGCCUUCCCAGUUGUGCUUGUACUAAGCAUUACCACAAUCGCUAAUUGCCUAUGCUGAUAUCGGCACAGAACACAUCUUUUUGGCUGUCCAGCAACAAAUGCCAAGCACCAUCUACUCAGCUCUUUUCAUCUUCCUUCAUCUAUUCCAUAACUCUGUUGGAGAGCUCUCUGAUGUCGAAAACUUGACAUUGAAAUUUACGUUUCAGCAUUUGUUAGUUGGCCAGUUACCGGAUUUGGUAAGGCAGAACAAAAUGGGACAGCUCAGGGGCUCUGUUGAAACCGUGGGAAAAAAGAACUCACAACAUGAUCAAUAUGAGUGUUAAACGCUUUAUUUUAAAUAUGAGUGCUGUACAUUAAUUUUUGCAAAACAGGUUCCACUAUAAACAGGGUUGACCCUGUUCCCGGACUGGAAAAACAGGGUGGGUCGGGAACAGGGUCCAAUGUAAACAGGGUCGGGAACAGGGUCCAAAAAAAGAGAACCGGUUAUAACAGGGUCGGGAACAGGGUCCAGGUCUAGACCCUACCCACCCUGGACCCGAUCACCCCUAUGAGCCGCGUCUAAGGACCAACAAACGCCCGGAAUCAAGCUGAAAUCAGAGGAGGCAUAAGCGAAAUCUGGUUCGAGCAUUUCUUCAAACACAUGGCGAGCAGCGAGUUGGGGAGCAAAUAUUGACCUGUUUGGAGCUCGAGCGCACGCCCAAACUCAAAAGUAAUCAACGAGCAACGUUCGGAAUCAACAAAAUAACAACUCAUUCAGGUCCAGCACGAGCAAGAACUAAAGAAAUUGAGUCGACUCUCACCUCACUCAAGACGGACAGAACAAUCUUAUAACUCACAUUUGCAUGAAAAAAUCAUAGAUAGCUUAUCCAGGAUGAACAAUCUUACUUGAUGGCACAUGAGACUUGAUGUAUUUAGAAGGCAUUCUGAUCACUGUUAGUGUUGUCAAUAGAAUGAUUUCUCUGAAACAUCACGUUAGACUCUUGGAUCCGCUUCACCAUUCCUGUUGUCAUUGAAUAUGAUUAAAUUUGACUUAAUUAUUUUAUGUAAAAGGAAAGGAGACGAAAAGAAAAUUUUAAAUGACCUUCUCCUCCCCUCUUUCAUCAGAAAAUUUGAAAAUUUGGAUAUUAAGUAUUAUAGACCCAAAAUAAAAUAUACAAAUUAAAGAAAAGAACUAGCAAACCUGGUUCAUUGAAAAAGUUUCCAUGUAAAGGAAAAUAUUUGUCUUUUGUUUUGUUGAAAAUAAGCGUGCUUUGUAAAACUAAGGUUUUCAAUCCAUCGUUUUGUACCUUUUUUUUAACUAAUAAUCCAUCUUUUUAUUUAGUGAUUAAAAAUUAAACCCCCUCUUGUGUAUGUUGCUAAUAUCAAAUUGUCAAUACACCGACAAUAGAAAAUUUUCAAUUGACGAAAACAUAUUUUGUAAUGAAAGAAGCUUGUAACUUACUAAUUUCAUUAACAUUUAUGUAAAUAUGCUAUAGUGCAACACCUAUAAAAUUUGAGAAAAGUUGGUAUCUAACUAAUUUUGGGGACUUUGGUAAAAAUCAUUUUAAGGUUCGUAUUUUACUAAUCACACUUAUAAAAGUUGAAAAAUAUCAAUGAUUCAUUAAAAUGUUGCUAAAUUCUUGUACUUUCCCUUGUAAAGUUACUAUUACCUACCCCCACGAUCCAAAGCUCGAUACAAAAGUACGAUAAUGCGAGCAAUAAUUUGUGUGACUGAUAUUUUACUAAUAUGUCAUAUUUGUAUCUCAUUUUUCAUUUAUGUAUGUCCCAAAUUGUCUACUAUAAUUUUCUCAAGUCCCUUCCACCAUAUUGUGAAAAAAUGCAUUCCACAAUUAGUCCUUAGACAGUUCAACUUGACUUUUAGUGAACAUUGAUAGAAGUUUAAUGACACAGACAAAUGUUUCAAUUUAAACAAAACAUCAGGUGGCUACUUUAUUGCCAUAUUAAUCAUUCGAGAGAGAUUUAUAGAAAAUAGGGUAAUUUGAUUAAAAUGGGGGAAUUAAUGAUAUUUUAUGGCAAAUGGGACACGCUGAUAUCAUGAAUCUAAUCUCUAGAUAUCUUUAAUGUUGUGGAUUUGGUUGUACAAUGGUCAAACCAAGGAUAGGAGAGAGAAGGGAGAGCCAUUUGAGAUAGAAUUUGAUGUAUUCUUCGCGUGCAACUUCUUUGCCUAUGUUACACUAUUCAAUCACUAGGCACUUGACCUGUUGGCGAGAGAGGAGGUCGGGAUAAAGUCAAGACAAGACUUUAGUUAAGUUUAUCAAAUAUAGAUUUGCCAAGUUGAAUUACCAAGAAACUUUGUCAGCUUGAAUGCUUAUAGAAGCACGACAUCAAUCGCCAUAAAAUGGUUUUGGAAUCAACUUGACCAGAACAAAGUAUAAGACAACUGUACAUUGAAGCGCAAGUUCAUGGGCCGAUUUUAUAAACAUUACCAAUACAUAUGAAGUGGUGCUGUAAAAUUGGAAGUGUGCAUAGUACACCCUAUGCUUCAAUACAAUACCAGGAACAUAUCUACGCAUUAAGAACUUGCUCAUGGUACAAACUUGCACAAGAUUUCUAGACAAUUUACAAUGGCUUUCAUUUUCAGGUGAAGCAGAACAGUACAUGAUCCAUUAGCUGGGUCUAACCUUCAUCAUCAGAACCAAAGGGCUGCCUUCUUAAAGAUUCCAGUACUUCUCUGGGACGAUUGCUUGGAGCCCCCCUACCACCUGUCGCUCCAUU